AUCCUUUCGAUGAUCAAUCAACUCCCGCUUACGAAUUGAUUUACGUCUUGAAUGUCAUCUACAACAUUUACCUAGCAACAUAUUUUGCCGCAUGCGAUGUAUUUUUCGUUAGCUGUGGACUAUCACUUGUUGGAGCUACACAAGAAGUAGAAGAUUUUCUCCUGCAACUUGACAGCGAAAUCCAAGAUGUGAUUGCUAAAACUAAAGAGAAUAAGUGUACCGCCAUUGCGUUCAAAGUUCACUGUUAGAAUAAAUCCAUUUCCUUAUUCAAGUGUGACAGCGACACAUCAUUCUACAAAAGUUAGAUCUUCAAAAGGAUUUCCGCAGAUUCCAUCUCACUUACACAUGAAAUUGGAUGAGGUGAUACGGGAUCACUACGAAAUAAUUCGGUAAGGGCGAGAACACGAUUAGCUGGUCCGGUAGGUGGUUUAUACACAUAGUCUUACGUAUCACUGACUUUGCAGAAUCACCGACAAUCUGGCCAGAAUUGAAGGAGGAAUAAUUUUCAGUCAAUUCUUUGGUGUCUUAAUCUCAUUGUCGGCAAUAGCUUUUCAGAUUGUUAUUGCUAAAGGUGAACAAUUUGUCUUUUUCAUUGGACCUACGGUUGUGAUCCUCUGUCAACUAUUUUUGUAUUGUUACUAUGGACAGCGCAUAACCGAUCAAGCAUGUCAACUAUACCAAUCGAUUUAUCAGCUGAAAUGGUACAACCAUCCAAUUAAAUUCCAAAAAUAUUAUCUACUCAUAAUGCUAAGAUCACAAAACUCGUCCUACUUCGAUGGACUUGGAUUCGUACGAUGCUCGUUGCAGAGCUUUACCGAUGUAAUGUAAAUUUUUGAAUUGUUUUAUCGGUCAUUUACUUACACUAAAAUUUUAUUCGAAUGGGUUAAUCAGGUGCUAAAGUUUGUCGGGUCAGUGGUAGCGCUGUUCAGGAAUCUUCAGGA